AAGGAUUGCCCUACCUACUGCACUAGCUAUUGAAUCUCCUUUGUAAAGAUUUAUACCUAGGUGUGAUAUUUUAAAUUUUUAAAAUUUCCUUACUUAAAUUUCUGAUUUCGACACUCAAUAAGACGGCAAAAGAAUUUUGAAAGUAUUUAAGAAAGAAGGACAAGAAAAAAAGAGAAGAAGAAACUCACUUCACGCAAUUCCUAGAAUUACAAUAUUGGCAGGCGUUACAUAAAACACAUGAAAUAGGCCUAAUUAAGAAGGACAAGUAAAUGAACCGUAAAUGGUGUGAUUAGCACAUCACUAAUAGUGAAGUUACUUUUGCAGUAAAAAGGUUCAAAAUCUGGAAUCUGUUGAUCAUAUUUAGGUGCUUAACACAACAUACAAUUUUAAAAGUAUUAGCGUGUCCUCUUCAUGUACCUCUUGAUUGAUCAGAAACUUGAAAAAGAUUGUAAGGAUCAACCACUCAAUCUUAUACAUCAAAAUAUCAAAUUACCACAAACAGUUGGAUAUAUCCGAGUGCUCUUCUCUCCUUUUUGUAUUUCAUCUCAUGUAUCUGUAUUUUCAUAGUUGAUUGGUGUUUACUUGCUAUUGAAAGUAAUUUAAAACUUCCCCAAUGCUGCUAAUUUGUUCACAUAUCCUGCUAUUUUGAGAAUAGCAAGAGUGACUACUGAGGUGGGCACUUUUUUGAGAGCAUUUAUUCUCUUAGUCCCAGCAUCUUCAGAAAGAAUGGGGAAUCUUCCUUAGAUGUUGUAUUUCUCGCUCUAUUUUUCUUUUUCUGUAUUUUCAGAAUUUCUUGUUUCCCGAUAUUCACAUUAGGGGGAGAUUCUUCAUCUAGCCAAUUGAUUGCCUUCACUGAAGUCUGCAGGCUUCAACAAAUGCAGAGGACGAGAUUUUAUAGAUUAUGAUUAGAAAGCAGAGGCUGGAUCCGGAAUGAUAGAGCGUAGAAGUUCCAUCAUCAAAUCACAGACUCUAUUGUCUAGUGCCACAUAAACCGACCAUUUUAAUAUUCUGCAUAUGAAGAUGGGCCCAAGUCUCAUUCGCUUCCAUCCCAUUUUCUUUGAGUGAUUCAAAGUUUCCCUUCCUCUUCUGUUUAGUGUAGGAUUUUUCACUUGCAUGCACAUGGCACUUGACACACCUGAUUGAACUUGCAAAGUUCAAACUGUGGACAUGAGUUGUGAGCGAGAAAGCCCUGAGAAUAGAAUCAGAUUCCAAAAUCUGAUUUUGGAAGAUGAAGAGGUAAUUUCAUCGAUAGUCUGAACAAUUUCGAUAACAAUUGAACAUUGUUUUCGUCAAUCCUUCUUAGGUGUUUUAGGUGUAUAUAAGAAGUGUUCCCUACUUUGGGAACUACAUGAAUGGAUGAGGAAACUAAAAAGGCAGCAUAUGAGGUGUAGUUCUGCCAAUCAAUUCCAAAAUUUUACUAUUUCCAAGUAAAUAAUGUUUACUGAGUUGUACUCGGCAUUCAGCACAUAGACAUAGUGUUUACUUUGUUCCACUAGCAGAGGAGAAGUACCAAGGUUGCAGGAAGUGAUUCUGGAGCUAAUUUGAAGGAAGAGACAUUUGGUUAUUGAGAUUUGAGACACAAAGUUGAUCUAUUUUCCUGUGGAAACUAUAGAAACUGGUACUUCUGCAGAAAUUGAAGAUGAUAUGGCUUUAGCUCUUAUAGGUAUUUGGCAAUUUCUGAUGUUAAAAAGGUUGAAAUGCAAUGUGUUGUGAUAUAUAGGGAGCUUGUAAUUAUAAUGUCUAUAUAUAUUCUUGCACGAAGUGUUGAAGAUGUCUUAACUUUUGAAAGAGGGAAAUGCCGGUAAAUGCAUUUGACUGGUUUCUUCUCCAUUGAUAUUCGGCCUGGUGACCUUAGGUUUGCCACUGGUGGUGGUGAUCACAAGGUAACUGCUUUUUCAUUCUUUACCAAUUAGUAUAUUUUGUUAAUGUAGAUUAUGGUUUUUAUCUGGCUCCAUUACUAUUUGCUUUGUCUAUAGUUUUAUAAUUUACCCAUCGGGUACACGCAAUCGAAGUGAUCUGCCUCGAUUGGAGGGACUAACAUACAUCUCCAAGUUUAGCAGGUUUGCCACUGGUGGUGGUGAUCACAAGAUCCAAGACACUUCAACUUCUUCGCAUUUGCUGAUAGACUCCUUGUAGUAGCAUUGUGCCAUACUACCAUUGAACAUUGAGUUUAUCAUUCAACUUAUGGAUUCGUAGGAAGAUGGCUGAGUUGCAUGUACCCUAUGGAGAUGGCUGCACUACUUUUAACUUCGUAGUUUUUCCUUCUAAAGUUGGAGACUGAUGCUAUACUUCUAACUCACUGUAAUAUUUUUGCAUUCCGUACUAAACAUUUUUUAUGUCGUGCUUUGUUAGAAGAGGUUGUUUUAAGAAUGACUUCUCCAAAUAAGAAUUUGGAAUUGUUGUGCUAUUGGUACUUCAAUCACGAUGUGUUAAUUGUUUCUCCCAGUUCUUACUAAUGGUUGCUCCUUCAUUCCUCUUGAUUUUAUAAAUUCAUCGAACACGUUCCUGCAAGUUUCACCCAUCUUAUCCUUUUGUAUUUCAUGUAAAAUCCUUACUGUUGG